rnacentral:rRNA from 1 species
CAGAGCCGGUUAAGCGGCGGACUGGUGAGUAACGCGUGGGUGACCCGCCUUGAGAAUGGGGAUAUGACCAGUUAGAAAUAGCGGGUAAUACCGAAUAAGCUGUGGCAGCUAUGUGCAGCUACAGGAAAGAAGCUACGGCUUCGCCUUACAGAUGGGCCCGCGUCCCAUUAGCUAGUUGGUGAUGUAAAGAGAUUACCAAGGCGAAGAUGGGUAGCCGGACCUGAGAGGGUGAACGGCACACUGGGACUGAGAUACUGUGACCAGACUCCUACGGGAGGCAGCAGCUAAGAAUAUUCCUGCAAUGGAGGAAACUCUGACGUGAGCUGACGCCGCGUGGAUGAGGAAAGGCCGAAAGGUUGUAAAAUCCUUUUGCCGAUGAAGAAUAAGUGCAGGAGGGAAUGCCCGCAUGAUGACGUUAG